CCCUUAGAUGUCCUGGGCCGCACGCGCGCUACACUGAACGGAUCAGCGCGUUUUCCCUUCCCGAGAGGGACGGGUAACCUGCUGAACCCCGUUCGUGGUAGGGAUCGGGGCUUGCAAUUAUUCCCCGUGAGCCAGGAAUGCCCAGUAAGUGCAAGUCAUAAGCUUGCGUUGAUUACGUCCCUGCCCUUUGUACACACCGCCCGUCGCUACUACCGAUUGAACGUUUUAGUGAGGUACUCGGACUGAGCCUCAGAAGAUUCACGUCUUUUGUGCUGCUCGGGAAGAUUCCCAAACUUGAGCGUUUAGAGGAAGUAAAAGUCGUAACA
rnacentral:rRNA from 1 species